CUGGACGGACGGUAGGUGCUGAGCGGCAGAAGAGGCUCAAGCUAUGCGUAUAUUCUCAGGGGAGGGUGGGUGGACUUCUUGGGCCCAUGAGCCCAGGUCUGAGUACUCCUCUGUGGGUGCACAAUGCGCCUGCUAAUGAGUUUCUUUGUUCUCUCUCUAACCUGUCCACUUUGCAGAUCUUACAAAGGACUCUGGAUGAAUAAGCACGAAGGAAAACACUACCUUGCCUGCACAGGGAUGUUCUAGCUAGGGCUGGAAAACAGGAGCUUGUGCCCUAGUGACCAGCUGUCCACUGAACCACCUCAGGACAGAUGACAGAGGGGAGAGGCAGGAGACAUAGGUUCUCUUUUCCUUUCUCUGCUACCCGCCUCCUACAGCCUCCAUAGGCCCUGCUUCAUUAGCACACUGACUGAGGUUUCAGGGAAAGCUGACUCCUGCAAGCACCUUGAAACCACUGGGACAUGGGGGCACUUGACACUUUCCCCAGUGGCACUGCUGUAGCUGGGCUGUUCUCAUCAAGAGAAGGAGACCAGGACGAGCCUCACAGACUGAGCCUUUCGCAGGCCCUCAUGGAGACAAGCCUGGGGUCACGCUAAGCUGAGUUUAUAAAGAUGGUGUUGUCUGCAUGCUGAGUUUCAUAGCCCGAAUGGUGCUUCCAUCGUGGAGUCAGUUCUAUUAAAGUCUGGGAAAUUGUUACAGUAUGUAAUAAUCUUGCCCUGUGCAGCCCUCUGUCUGUUGCCCUUCCUGUUCUUCCCCAAUGGUUGCACUCAUGUUUUCCCAUAGCCCUUAUGUGAUAGCUACUCCCUGGUUUUGCUUAAUAGGAUGAUCUCCAAGUGCCAUUCAUUCUUUGCUGUGGUUUAAGGAAACUCCACUUGUAAUAGGCCACAUUUUCAUUAUCAACUGUUGCACUUCCAUAUCUAGGCUGCUUCUAUAAUUUGGCUACAGUGUAGCCAGUGAACAGUGUAGCAAUAGACCCUGUGUGCAGGUGGCUCUACAAAAAGCAGACUUUGACUCCUGGGGUAUAGACCCAGAAAUGCAAUACAAUAGCUCAGGGUUAGUAGUUCAGACAUUGGCACCUGCUCCCACAGUGGCUCCACUAAUUUACCCUUAUGCCAGAGUGUUUAUUGUCCCUUCCCUACAUCCUCACUGAUCUUUCGUUUUCUUGAUGGUAGAGUCAUUCCAACUGGGAUGAUAGCCUCUCAAUAGAUAACAUUUGAUUUCAUUUUCCCAGUUUCUAAAGAUGUUGGACCCCUUUGUGCAUUGAUUACUUCUUCUGAAAAGUGUUUGCUUUGUUUAUUUGACCAUUUGCUGGUGGAAUGGUUUGUCCUUUUGGUAGUUAUUUAGUUCCUUAUGUAGUCUGGACAUCAGGCACCCUCCGAGUGCACACACACAUGAAUUCUUCACGCCAUCUCCUUACUCCAGUGUUUUGGUUCCUGUGCAGUUCCAUAGCUGAUGUCGUGAUUUCUGUAUCUGUUUAUAUCCUCCUCAGAAAGUCAUGGCAUAUGCCAAGGUCUCUACCCCUUUCCUCUGCCUUCCUGCAGGGUUUGGUUUAGGUCUUACAUGAAGUUGCUUGGUCCAUUUUGAGUUGAUGCUGUAUAGGAUGAGGACUGAGUCUCCAUCUGAAUCCAGGUUUUCCUCCCUGAACUUGAAGAAGCCAUAUCUACUCCAGCAUCCACUUUUUGCCAUCUUUGCCAAGAAUCAGACAGCUGCCGCUCUGUAGAUUUAUUUCAGGGUCUUCUUUUCUACUCCAUUGGUCUACACAUCUGUCUUUGUGUCAGUACCAUGCUGGUAGUUUUACUGUGGUUCUGUCAUAUAAUUUAAAGUCAGGAAUUAAGUGCUGUGCGCACAGGAUUGCUUUGUGUGUGCACAGGAUUGCUUUGUGUGUGCACAGGAUUGCUUUAUGUGCAAAGGAUUGCUGUGUGUGCACAGGAUUGCUUUAUGUGCAAAGGAUUGCUGUGUGUGCACAGGAUUGCUUUGUAUGUGCAAAGGAUUCCUUUGUGUGUGCACAGGAUUGCUUUGUGUGUGCACAGGAUUGCUUUGUGUGUGCACAGGAUUGCUUUGUGGACUAUUUAGCAUUGUUUGUGUUUUCAUAUGAAUUUUAAGUUUGGAUUUUUGUUGUUGUUUUGUUUUUCUAGUUCCCUGAAGCAGGUCAUUGGAAUUCUGGUGAAGACUGCAUUGAAAUUAAAGAUGACUUUUUUGUAG
rnacentral:lncRNA from 1 species